rnacentral:tRNA from 2 species
GGCGCGUUCGUCUAGCGGCUAGGACGGAGCCCUCUCAAGGCUUAAACACGGGUUCGAUUCCCGUACGCGCUA